UGUGGUUGUUUUCAUGCAGCUGAGGUCAAAUCAUCACUAAAUGUUUCGUUCUUAUUGUUCCAGUUUUCAUCAUCAGAGCUCAGAUCUUCAUGAACAAAGCAGGUUCUUGUUGAAUCUGUUGUGUGCAGCAGCAGAGAGAGAACAGCAGACAGGAGAGAAGACAGUGGAGCUCUUAUCAUCAGUGUGCACAUAUCAAACAUUCCCUCUGCAUGGUGGUGGAUACAUGGAUGAUACAUAUCAGUCUGACUUCCUGCUGGAUCUGUGCUCCCAUGUGAAGGACUAUGAGACUAAAACAGGACUGAGUGUCCUUCCAUCAUUACAGUCAGUUUUCCAGUCAGCUGCAGUCUGGUCCAUAAAGCUCUCAGAGAGAAAGAGCUCCAUCCUCCUGGAAGUGCUGAAACUCCAAUCAGAGAAGAAACAAGUGGAGCUGAGAGGCUGCUCACAUGAAGAGAGUGAAGUGAGGAGUUUGCUGCAGUGUCUGCCUUAUAUCUCACAGCUCAGUUUUGAUCCAUGGAGCUCAGAUCUCCAUGAACAAAGAAGGUUCUUGUUGAAUCUGUUGUGUGCAGCAGCAGAGAGAGAACAGCAGACAGGAGAGAAGACAGUGGAGCUCUUAUCAUCAGUGUGCAGAUACAAAACAUUCACUCUACGUGGUGGUGGAUGCAUCUAUAAUACAUAUCAGGCUGACUUCCUGCUGGAUCUGUACUCCCAUGUGAAGGACUAUGAGACUAAAACAGGACUGAGUGUCCUUCCAUCAUUACAGUCAGUUUUCCAGUCAGCUGCAGUCUGGUCCAUAGAGCUCUCAGAGAGAAAGAGCUCCAUCCUCCUGGAAGUGCUGAAACUCCAAUCAGAGAAGAAACAAGUGAAGCUGACAGGCUGCUCACAUGAAGAGAGUGAAGUGAGGAGUUUGCUGCAGUGUCUGCCUUAUAUCUCACAGCUCAGUUUUCAUCAUCAGAGCUCAGAUCUUCAUGAACAAAGCAGGUUCUUGUUGAAUCUGUUGUGUGCAGCAGCAGAGAGAGAACAGCAGACAGGAGAGAAGACAGUGGAGCUCUUAUCAUCAGUGUGCACAUACAAAACAUUUCUUCUAUCAGUUGAUGAUGAUGAUGAUGAUGAUGAUGAUGAUGAUGUUUAUAAGGAACAUUGGUCUGACUUCCUGCUGGACCUGUACUCCCAUGUGAAGGACUAUGAGACUAAAACAGGACUGAGUGUCCUUCCAUCAUUACAGUCAGUUUUCCAGUCAGCUGCAGUCUGGUCCAUAAAGCUCUCAAAGAGAAAGAGCUCCAUCCUCCUGGAAGUGCUGAAACUCCAAUCAGAGAAGAAACAAGUGGAGCUGAGAGGCUGCUCACAUGAAGAGAGUGAAGUGAGGAGUUUGCUGCAGUGUCUGCCUUAUAUCUCACAGCUCAGUUUUCAUCCAUGGAGCUCAGAUCUUCAUGAACAAAGCAGGUUCUUGUUGUAUCUGUUGUGUGCAGCAGCAGAGAGAGAACAGCAGACAGGAGAGAAGACAGUGGAGCUCUUAUCAUCAGUGUGCAGAUACAAAACAUUCCCUCUGCGUGGUGGUGGAUACAUGGAUGAUACAUAUCAGUCUGACUUCCUGCUGGAUCUGUACUCCCAUGUGAAGGACUAUGAGACUAAAACAGGACUGAGUGUCCUUCCAUCAUUACAGUCAGUUUUCCAGUCAGCUGCAGUCUGGUCCAUAGAGCUCUCAGAGAGAAAGAGCUCCAUCCUCCUGGAAGUGCUGAAACUCCAAUCAGAGAAGAAACAAGUGGAGCUGAGAGGCUGCUCACAUGAAGAGAGUGAAGUGAGGAGUUUGCUGCAGUGUCUGCCUUAUAUCUCACAGCUCAGUUUUGAUCAUCAGAGCUCAGAUCUUCAUGAUCAAAGCAGGUUCUUGUUGAAUCUGUUGUGUGCAGCAGCAGAGAGAGAACAGCAGACAGGAGAGAAGACAGUGGAGCUCUUAUCAUCAGUGUGCACAUAUCAAACAUUCCCUCUGCGUGGUGGUGGAUACAUGUAUGAUACAUAUCGGUCUACUUUCCUGCUGGAUCUGUGCUCCCAUGUAAAGGACUAUGAGACUAAAACAGGACUGAGUGUCCUUCCAUCAUUACAGUCAGUUUUCCAGUCAGCUGCAGUCUGGUCCAUAGAGCUCUCAGAGAGAAAGAGCUCCAUCCUCCUGGAACUGCUGAAACUCCAAUCAGAGAAGAAACAAGUGGAGCUGAGAGGCUGCUCACAUGAAGAGAGUGAAGUGAGGAGUUUGCUGCAGUGUCUGCCUUAUAUCUCACAGCUCAGCUGCGACCCAGAGCUCUUCCAGACUGUGUGUACAGUCGUCUGUGUGAGAUCCAGAGAGGAGGCCCAGCAGCUGGUCUCUCUGCUGCAGCUCCUGGACUUCACACUGCUGUUGUCAGGACAGUUAAAGAGGAAAACCUGUAGGUCUGUGGGCAGAGUUCUCAAACUGUGUCCCUCUAGAGUGGAUCUCACCCUCACACCCAGCAAGAUGUCUGUCAGAGCCGCCUCUGACCUCUUCAGACACACAACAAAACUCAACAGUCUGAGGCUUUCUAAAGGCAUGGCUUUGCUCCUGUCUCAGUGGGUAAGAAGAGACAGAGUGGGCUGUCCACUGGCUGUUGAAGAGCUUUACCUUCUGCCCAUGACAUCCAGUCCAUCAGACAGAGUGCUAUUGAAGGUUGUCAGUGGUUUGGCAGUCCUGCUAAGACACUGUGCAGUGGGACUGUUAGACCUGACUGAGUCCUGCAUCCCUGCUCAGUGUCUCAUUCCACUGCUGCUUCAUGAUGCUCCUCUGACAAUAAAACUGAAUGAGAAGAACAUCCAGCAGCUGCUGGUCCUCCUCCAUCAAAUCCAGGACAAUCACCUGACGCUGUCCUUCUUAAGGAAGACUGGUGGAGACCUGAGCUCCUGCUGUCUGAAGUGGGAGCUUCUUCACUACCUGCUACAGCAGCAGUCAACUCAGACCAUCACUGUGGACCUGAGGAAGAACCGCUUCUUACAGGAGAGCGCUGCACAGCUGCUUCCAUUUCUGGACAGGAUCAUGUUUAAAAGGCCCAGUCCCAGCUUUGUGAGGACUUCCAUCAGAGAGCUCUAUAGAGCUCGUGGUCAUAACACUGUGCCCCUUUACCUGAGGUCAUUUGAUCAUGUGAUCAACCUGAACUGCACAGAGCUGGAUUCAGAGGACUGUGAGGCUCUACUCUUCAUCCUCACACACAGUGAUGGAGUUAAACUGAGCCUCCUGUGGACCGCCAUACUAACAGAGGGAAUAAAGUCCAUCCUCUUCACGUUGGACAAAGUCUCUCAUCUCAGGAUUGACAGGAACCUGCUGCUGAUGUUCAUCCACUCCUGUGCUGCCUCUGACGACCAGCAGAGGGCGGCGUUAGGCCUGCUGAGGACUCUGCAGUACAGGGUGGAUCUGUCCUGCUCUUGCUAUGUGCAGCUAUCAGAGCAGGAUCAGACUGAGCAGACUCUGAGUCUGACUGCUGAGGACUGCCAGGCUGUCUCCUCCCUCCUGAGACACAGCAGCCGAGAAACACAGCUGGACCUGAGAGAUUGCCAGGUGCAGGACAGCAGCCUGGACCUGCUGUUUCCUGUCCCGGACAGAGUCCAGCUCAGAGUCAGUAAAACUGUCCUCCUCCAGCUGCUGUGUCUGGUCCCUGGAAACAGUGAGUGGGACACAGCGAGGCGGACCCUGUCCCUGUGUGGAGCUUUGGGUAGAGAGCUGGAUCUGAGUCACACCAAGCUGGAUCAUAGGACCUGUUGGGCUUUGGUCCAGAUGCUCGAUGUCUCUGAAGGACUGACAGAACUGGACCUCAGUCACUGUCAGCUGACUGACCAGCUGCUGCUCCCACUCAUCACACAUCUGCACAAAGUACAAGUGCUGGAUCUGAGUCACAAUAAGAUCACUGAUGCUUCCACUGAUGUGUUACUCCACCUGGUCUCCAUCAGCCCGUCCUCCAACACUGUUAGACUCUUCAACAACAUCAUAGAAGACAGAACUCCCUUUAAGGAACUCAGACAGGUUGAAAUAUGGUGACGCAGCCAUCAGCCAGCUGCUGCUCUGAUCAUCAGGGAUUAAUCAGAGAGUUGAACCCAAAACUAGGACCUAAAUUAGAGGAGAGAGAAGGCAACAACAGGUGAAGUCUGUGACUACUACUGAAGUGACUGUCCACAAGGUGGCACCAAUGACUUUUCACAUUCACAGUUUAGGUGUGAUUUUAGUCAUUUGUUAUUUAUUUACACAGUUAGUUGUUUUUAUUAUGUUCCAAAUAUCAUUUGUUAUUGUGCGGUUGUUGCAUAUUUUUGUUGUUAUACAUUAAGGAACUGUACACCACUUCCAGGUCAUUUCUAUGGAUACCAAAGAUGCUCAAACAUUUUCCUGACCACUUUUGGCCAAGUUUGAUUAUUUUUUUUUUACUUUUGUUUGGAUUGAUAUAUUGUGUAUUUCGUUUUGGCAAAUAAAUGAGUUGAAUACUUCA
rnacentral:lncRNA from 1 species